CCUUUGGUCCUGUUCUCUUUGGACACAGCAGCAACUUCACCAAUGCCAUGGACAUGAUGUCCCUGUUUGCCUUUCUCCAAGGACUGUCAUGGUGUGUGUGUGUGUGUGUGUGUGUGUGUGUGUGUGUGUGUGUGUGUGUGUGUAAGUGUGGUUACUACAGAGAUUGCUGAAUCUGCCCAUUGUCUUUCAAAUUAGUAUAUCUGAAUCUGGUUCAAUUAUUCUUGGCUAAGCAGUGAAAAUUCCUAUCUGGUGGCUGAAGAAGGGAUUAGCCUGCUCAGAAAAGCUCAUAAAUUUCAUUCAGUAUCUCAAAAACCAGAGAAACAAGUGUGAUAUCUAAGCUGAUAGUAUUACACCGUCUGGGUUUGAUGAGUACCUCAGAGCAUCAGGCUCACUGAGGGGUGCUGACCACUGGGGUUACUGGCCACUAAGGAAGUCCUGCAGGAGUGCCACACAGCUUAAUGGGUUACAUAAUAAUGAAACCAUCGAAAUGACGCCGAAGAAAAGCCUUUAAUAACAUAAAAUAUUAGUGUGAUAAGCAUCUCAAUGAAAAAGCAGUAUAUACACAGUAUACUAUAUGUGUAAAUUAAAACAUGCUUUGAUGUGUUCAGUAAAUAAACAUUAAGACCCUUCUAUGCAUGUAGAUUACAUUACAGACACGGGUGUGUGUGCAUGUCUGUGUGUACGUUAAAGCAGAAUCGAAUGUCAUCUUACCUUUUCCAAUUUACAGUGAACAUUUAUUAAUGUUUUAACAAGACAUCACUAUUAAAUUAAGGAUCUUUUCUGAAGUAUAAGAAAAGGCUAACGUUGUAACAAUGAGGCUUAAUAAAGGAAUCAGAAGACACGUAAGUCCUUCUAGCCGUGUGCUCUGCUGUGAGUCACGGAAGCUGCUCUGCACUGCGUGUUUCAAUCUUCUUCUAUUUCCCUAUUAAAAUGAACAGAUGCAUUUCCCAUCACAUGGCGCCCGUGGAAACAUGCCAACCAUUUUCUUAGCAACCGAACUCCUGCCUCGUGCUCUGUGCAUGUUAAACUAAAACAGCCUGUUGACGGCUUAAAAUAAACCUGCCUUCUCCCACUUAGCAUUUUAUCAAAUGAAUGUAAUUUUGUUUGCUGAUGAAUUUAGUUCGGCUUCAAGGAGAUUUUUUUCCCUUCUUCCUGGGGAGGCUGGAGAAUCAGAAUUGCCCUGCCAGAGGAUGAAAAACAAGCCUAGGGAGAAAAGACGGGCUGAUGUGGGUAAUGUAAAAGUAGCUUCUCAUUUCACCCCUCCCCUUGCUUUGUUUCUCCCCCACACACCCCCACCCCCGGGUAGAAUGUUGAUUUAACUUUAAAUUCUCCUUAGACUUUGCAUCAUAAUGUUUGGGUUAUUUGAUUAGAUGCAUUAAUUUAAAUGAGCGUGCCGACGAUUGCUACUGUUAUUAUGUAAAAGCUCUUGUCUCAUUCCCCCCCUUGUUUCUAACACUUCAAUAUGCUCCACAGUUAAAUCCCGCUCUUCUCGCUGCCUAUAGACCCGUUCCUUUGGUCCAGAAAUAAAGAGACCAAACAAUACGUAAUUUGGCGAGGCAGGAGCGGGAGGGUUAUUAUCAGCAGUGUAGAGAAUUGGUAUUUUUCAGAUAGAGCUGACUCUGCAACUUGGAAUAAUCUGCUAUUUUGCUUGAAUAUAAAAAUGAAACUGUGUCUACGUGUAUACGUGGACAUCUUAGGCACAAAGACCAUAGGAAUAUUUCCUCGAUAAGAAAACUUUCAAGUUGCCUCGAAACUAACAGUAUAAGAAAACCAGACGUAUACUUAAACCAGCAAACACCUAGCAAAUCCAUGAAGAGCGAGGGUUUAGGUGAACUCGUGAGAGGUCUAAGCAGGUUCCUUUCAUCUCCCACCGGCUGGCUCCUCACCUGGAAGCUAACAGUUACAAACCAGCAUCAACAGCAAGGGUUGAGAUUUCCAAUUUCCUUCCCUGGAGCAAAUUCCUAUCACCGGGCAAUGAAAAUUGAUGACGUAACUGCCUAGCUUCACAUUUUCCCCGUGGAAUUAAGGACACAACAAAGGCAGAAUGCAUUUCUGUUCGAUCUACUUCUUCCCGACUUCUGUCUUUUAGGAAACAAAUAGUCUUCUUGUGUUAUCUUUAACAGUGGGUACAACCCGUAGAAGAUCGACAGACAUUUAACAUUAAGUGUUGUAAAAGGGCAAACGGCUCCCAAGUUUUGACAUUCAUUUGUUGAGACUCGGAAUCCAUUGCCUGUGCUAGCUCCCACGCUGGUUAGCAGCUGUGGAAAAUGUCACAUCUGUAGGGGCUGUGUUUGAAAUGGUUACUGUAUUUUCAAAACUGCCCAGUUGAAUUUUCUUUAUGAGACAAGGUCCUGCCUAGUCGAGGUGGGCCUUGAACUCACUAUGUAAGGGUUGCCUUGAACUCCUGACCCUCCCAUUCCCCAUAUCUUCAGUGCUGGGAUUUACAGGCAUCCAGGCUCAUGCCUAACAUAAUUUUCUACUUAUACACCCCUUCAAACAUCACUCUGUACAGUGGUUAGUGCUCUCUGCUGCUCACUGUAUGAAAGACACACAACCCUACCGAGGGAGCUUCCUAUGUGACCCAUGGCUCUUGCAAAGGUGACUUAAUCCCCAUAAGAACAACAAUACCAACCAACCUGACCCCCCAGAGCUCCCAGGGCCUAAGCCACCAUGCAAAGAGUACACAUGGACAGACCCAGGUAUGGAGCAGAGGGUGGCCUUGAUGGGCAUCAAUGGAAGGAGAAGCCCUUGGUCCUGCAAACACUCGAUGCCCCAGUGUAGGGCACUCGUCAGGACUGGGAGAUGGGUAGGAGAACACCCUCAUAGAAGCAGGGGGAGGGGGAAGAGAUAGGGGGUUUAUGGACAGGAAACCGGGAAAGGGGAUACAUUUGAAACGUAAAUUUUAAAAAUCCAAUAAAAAGAAAAAAGAAGUUUUGUCCUGUGUUCUGUGAAAUUCAUGAAGGAAAUGACUCUUACAUUAUUCUUUUGGUGAAUGACACCCAGGUAGGCUGAAGGCAGAUCCUAAUUAAAUCCCAGAAGCCCCUACCAUCUAGAACCCGAGCAGCGUCAACAUGCUGGAGAGAAAUUCAGUGCCUCUGACCACCCGCCUCACACCCACUACACCCUUCUCUCUGCUGAACAGAGGCUGAGAGGGGCACCUCUACCUUAUCUGAAGAAGGGACCUGGACCUUCAACUUCUCUAUUUCACCGUGCUGUAUUUCUCAAUAGAAACCUUAGUGUACUUACACUUAGCAGGGUAUUUUGUGCUUAAACUGUUAAAUGUGUUUGUUCAUCCCUAUGGAAGAGCCCCAAACUUCAUUCCAAGAGCUUGUUAGAAACUAUUGUUCUUUGGGUAAAACUAUCUUUUUGUUUUAAAACUCAAUAAAUAUAAUACUGAUAAUCUUUUACUGAGGGCACACCAUUGGUAGUUUUGUAUUACGGUCUAGAGGGGAACUGAUUCUCGAACUGGCACUAGGACCAUUUCUUUCUGGCACCCUGCACGGGAAUGGAGACAGACACACCGCAGCAGCGUUCAGGGAGAGUAACUGUCUUAAUUAGUUAGUAAGGGUGAGUGAGCCUCUCCCAGGCAGGCCCAGUGUAGCAUGGGUUGGUGGCUCUGUCUCAUCCUCUCCGCUUGAAAAGACCUACCCACCAGGAAGACCGAGUCCACAGAGCAAGUGCCCAGGCUGUCUUCGGAGUGUGUCAGCCUUUGGCCUCCCCAGAUAAUUACAACCUCAUGACCUGGAAGCACUGUUUUCCAGGUUCCAUGUUCUUGCGAUUGCAAGGACUCUCAGAAACACAUUUUCACAGCGAGACAAGUCCUUUGAAAACUCUGGACAUAAUUGCCAGAAGUACCCAAUGAUAUCAAAAUAAAGAUUCAGCUUCAAUUUAAUGACCCGGGGUAACUGAAAUUUGGUUGGAGGAUUUAUGAGUCUAAUUUCCAAUGUAGAAUUGGGAAAGUGAAAUAUAAAGCCUGGCUAAUAUGACAUCAGAAGUUGUCAGGAUAAUUUCAGGAUGGCUCUUUCUAGAACAGCAAGAGAAUUGAACAAGCUAAUUGACUGACAAUUUGAGGGUGUGCUCUUGUUUCUACACUCUCGAGCAUGGGGAAUAUCUUAGCAAAAUGCUUUCCUGUGAGAUGUUCUCCAUAUAGCUAGAUUACAUCCCACUGAGAGUACCCCUUAUAAGCCUGACAUGAAACGGACAAUACUUUCUUGGAUCUACAAUAGCAUGAUUCCUUGAAUAGCUAAGGUGUGGCAGCUCCAUGCCUUAUGAAUAUUAUGAACCCAUUCGUGUAUGAAUAUUAAGAUUGAUAAUGAUACAUAUACACACAUCCAAGCUUAUUGAUUCCCUAUAUAAUAACAUAAGCCAAAAUUCAGUUAUUAGGAAAAGAUACUCUCCUUAGACAGAAUUUAAGGUAUACUGUCUAAUUCAGUAGUUAUGACAUGUAUUAAAUGUAAAUAUAAUUCUGUCGGGUGCUUUUUGUUUUUUUUUAAUGUGGGUUCUCCCAUAUCCCAGGCUAGACCAGAAUUCACUGUGGAGCUGAAGGUGACUUUGAACUUCUGAUCAUCGGUUCCUCGCCUCCCUAGUACUAGGGUUAGGGCGUUCACCACCACAACUCAUUUAUAUGGUAUGGGGGAUUGGACCCAAUGCUUCAUGCAUACUAAGCAAGCACUCUCUCACGUAAGCUCCAGAUAAGACCCCAGUAAUCUUAAAGUUGAUCAUCUGCGUGGUAUCUGUAUGUUUCUAUUAGGAUAUUAGGUUUCAAAUACCUAAUUUUGAGGCCUAACAGCCACAUAGAGCUAGUGGCUAUUAGAAAAAUAAAAUAGAUUUAGAAAUCUUUCAUCACUACAGAAAAUUCUAUUGAACAAUAUUGAUUUAUAGGUUAAAGAAAAUCUUCACAUACAUUAAAUUAGAUCUCAUUGCUCUCAGUUUAGAUUUUUGUAGUCCUGGCUGCCCUGGAACUCGCUAUGCAGACUAGGCUAGCCUCUAACUCACAGAUCUCUACCUACUUCUGCCUUCCAAGUGCUGAGCUUGGAAUACACCAUGCCCAGCCCUAGAGCCCAAGACAGGGUCUCUAGGUAGCCUUGGCUGUCCUAGAACUCACUCUGGUAGACCAGGCUGACCUUGAACUCAAAGAAAUCCGCCUAUCUCUGCCUCCCAAGUGCUGAAAUGCUGGGAUUAAAAGGCAUGUGCCCCCACUGCCUAGCAGAGUUUAUUUCCUUUGUCUUUACAAUAAACUUUCCCCUAAACCAAUUUCUGUUGCACAGUCCUAAAAGCAGGCUAUUUUAUCAUGCUAUUCACAUAGUGGUUCAGUUUCUAAUUAGAAGUUGAUGGAGUCCUUUCAUGCACCACAGUAUCAUUUGCGCAACAUUUUCCAGCUGCAUUAAGAAGUUGAAUUAUCUCACAGAACAUAACAAAAGACAGGGAAUUAUUCAACCGUCUAGAGAAGUAAAUAUAUAUGAAAAAUGUAUAUAUGUGUGUGCAUGUGUGUGAGCAUGCCCAUGAGUGUGUGUGUGUGUGAGUGUGUGUGUGUGUGUGUGUGUGUGCAUGUUUGUAUGAACUGCAAACUAAUACACCAUGAAAAGCUGCAUCACUAUCUCAUCAACAAGAGGCCAACUAAGCCCAGUGCCCAUCACAAACUUCUGACCUCCACAAAGGAAGCUGUAGAGUCAUCCUUUAAAGGUGCUGAGUCAUCCUUUAAAGGUGCUGAGUCAUCCUUUAAAGCUGCUCCUCUGCCCAGAGCACACUGCUCAUGUUUCCUUGGGCAAAUAACGUUGCUUGACUAAACCUGCCACCAAGGAAAUAGGGAAACAUGAAACCUGCCCACAGAGCAGCAAAUGCUUAAGGAGAGUAAUAAAAACUGUCACAAAGGCCUAACGGUUUCUGUCUCUGUAGGGGUCUCCAAAUGGACAGAAGGCAUAGAGAAGGUAAAUACACAGAAGGAGAUGUGUUUAGGGAACUGGCCUGUGUGGUGAUAGAGGUUGAAAGGUACCAAAAUUCACUGUCUAUAAGCUAGAGAGCCAGGGUUUUCAAUGCGAUGGCAGGUGCUGGUGUGAGCCCUGGUGUCUGAAGGUCAGAGACUCGGAGCUCUCAGGCAAGCUUCAGAUGGAAAUGAGGAAAAAGUUUGAUCCUUUAUGACUCUCAUGUCCUGUUAAGGCCAUUGGUGGAUUUAAUGUUGCUGCCGGGUAGGAAAGGUCCUCUGCUCACUGACUCAGGUGUUAGUUCCUUCUACACAAGUCCCUGAAGCACUCACAGACAUGGCCUCAUGGGCAAUUUUGCAGUCUCUCUCUCUCUCUCCCUCCCCGUCGUCCCUCCCUCUCUCCCUCUGUCUGCCUCUCUCCUUUUCUCCCUACCCCCACAGCCUCACAAGUACACUCUCAUACACAAGCACAUACACUCAUAAGCACAUGUGCACACAUAUUUACAAGCACACAUAGACCCUCACAAGUAUAACAAGUAUAAUCCCUCUCUCUCUCUCUCUCUCUCUCACUCUCUCUCUCACUCUCUCUCUCUCUCUCUCUCUGUGUGUGUGUUUGUCUCUGUGUCUGUCUGUCUCAGUGUGUGUGUCUCUCUCUGUCUGUCACACACACACACACACACACACACACACUUAAGAACACAAGCACACAGAGACACUCACACAUACUUGUAAGCACACAUGACCACAAGCACUUAUAAGCACACACAGACCCUACAAGCAUAAUCUCACACACAUACACAUGGGAGCAUUUUAUAGACACAACCUCAUGAGUACCCAAAAGUAGCUUUACUUUAACUCUGUCCCAUUGUGACAUAAAAUUAACCACUGUGCUCUCUUUUGUGACUCCUGUUACAAUGCAGCUGCUUUCUAGAUAGUAUUUUUAUCUCUGACUAGAAAAGGAAGUCUCAUUUUAGAACAUCUGAGGUACUUGGUUCUCCCACAUUAUCAGCAAGACGGCUGUGGUUUAGAGCCUACUGCAAGCCUAGGGCUUGCUGCCCUCUUGGUAUAGCUAAAUCUGUGAAUGGAUGCACAGAACAAAGACGUGUUUAUAACUCUCCCUGUUCUAGUCCCACAGUCCCUCACCAGCAGUAAGAAGUCUGCUUUCUUAUAACUUGAAUGGUUUUCAUUAGAAAUUUUCCCAGCCACAGGGCCAGAAAAACAGAUGCCGCCGAGAAUCUUUAUGUAAUAGUUGUUCCCGUAAUCAUUAUCAGGGCAUCCCAGAAAAAGAUUUCCUGGUUACUUUCUUCCACAUAGGUAAGUUGAGAUGAGGUAAUCUUUAAGAAGAAGCUUGUAGUUAGUCUACAUGGCACCUAGGGACCACGCCUGUCGCGGGUCCUUUUAUUCCUGUGUAAGACAGCACACGAGCAAGACAGUCUCUUUCAGGUCCCACAGUUCUGACAAAGCCAGGGAUAAAGUGGGAGCUUGUCUUCUGCAUUUGGGCUUUAUACAUGAAUCUAGCAAGCAUCUUCCUUUAGUUAUUUCUAUAACUAAAACAGCUUAGACGAUAUGACUAUAUUUACCAGUCCAUCUACCAAAGGCCUUCUGGACACUUGCUCACGUAGCCUUAAGAUCGCCCUCUGAAGUAAGUGUUAUCAUGUGCUUUCCUAGGGCUGAGGAGGCAAAGCAUAAAGAGAUAAAUAUGACCUAUGGGUUAUUUUGCUAAAGAGUGUCCUAGUCAGAAUUUGAAACCAAGUCCGACCAACGCGCCUGUUCAUACUUCUUAUUCUCUGUCUUUCUCUCUUGCCUCCAAAUUUCGUGUGCCUUGGAAAUGGAGAGACAGUAAACCUUAAGUCCCAGAAAAGGAAACUGAAUUACUUGCGAAUCAGUGUGUGCAUUGGGUAAUGGCCUACAUAUUAAAGUGAGAGUUAGAAAUGAAAACCACUUCAUCGUAAAAUAAAAAUGGACUCUUGUCCCUGCAGCUCUAUUACGGAUUUUGCUUCUACGAUCUAAUUUUUGUCUUUUAAGCGUGCUUAUUUUGAAUCUAAUCCAGUUGAAGCAAGCUUAUAAUUAAAGUGGCAUUUACUACGAUGGACGUUUUUCAUACUGAUUAGAUGGGAAUGUCUAGAGUGGAGAAAGUCCCUUGGGAUCCUGGUACAUCCAGUGUCUUGGUCACGUAGUAGGGAUGGGCAGCUGAGCUGCCCCCUGGGGAGAAGACAUGAGUCACAGAUGUUUUCAGACGGAGAGCCACAGAUGAAACCAGGGAGCUGGGUUCUCAAUGGGAUGUUCGUCCCUGGGAGAAUCUGUGUCAUAGGCUUUUAAUUGGUUGUUCAUGCAAAGAAACAAAGGAAUGAAUGAAUGAAUGAGCACAUGGGAAGUUUCGAUGAUUCUCACACCACUUGUGCUAAACUGCAAAUGCUAGCAUUACAGCAAUUGACAUCAGUUGUUAUUUCUAAGCUAUUAUAGAUCAAAUCAUCUUAUGUUUAAGAACUACAGGACCCCAAAUAGCAAAGCUUAAAAAUGACGCCCUAAUGAUAUCAACUACUGGAAGUUCAUAAAUAAUUUCUUAUUAUUUCAAUGAAUAACAUUUGCCAGGCUGAGUAGCUGAUGUUCAAAGAACCACUACCAUACUUAGACAUCGUGCCUCAAAAAAGGGGGGAAAAGUAUUCUCAAUUCCUGUUUUCUUAGCAUGGUGCCCAGUAUUUGAAAUAAUAAUUCUAUGUCUUUUUGCUCAUAAUAAUAAAAAAUAUGUUCUUGCCAUUGCUUGGCUGGAGAAGUGGCAGAAAAACCAAUCACUUCUUUGUCAGAUAAACAGGUCCACAGACAUCUAGCAAUCUCAACGUCAACACCAGAAUUUGGUUUUGAUGAAGCAGUUGGGGUCUUUGUUCUAGAUUUAAAGAAGAUAUUCUGUUGGCCAUGAAGACCUAGGACAUGCUAUUCAAAAACCAGUUUCCCCAGUAUAUUCAGAACACUAUGUCAACCCUCCAAAAACUGUAAAAGAUUACGUUUAAUUUUUUAAAAAGAGAGUGAAUAUUCACUUUCAUUUAUUACUUCAAAUUAGAAUAUCAUGCAGGGAAUUAAAGGAUUUUCUCUAAUCCCCGUCCCUCUUUUUAUUCCAGUCUUGAAGCCUGAUUAUAAAACUUGGGAUUUGGUGCCUAUGUGAGCUUCUACCCGGUUAGAAGAUCUGUUUGCGGCGGCUGCGACACUGCUCCUGGGGUUUUACACGUCCACUGCUGCUUACACUGUUUUGCACUCACACGUUCCCAUAAGCCACAGAAGAGUUGACGAUAGAAAAACCUCUUUCUAUUUCCUUUCAUGGCUCAAGUCCUCCCGCUGUGCCAUGCCCUUCCUUAUCACCUUGCAUUCCGGUCACGUGUUUGGUGUUUAUUUAUUUUUUUCUCAGUAUAAUGUCAGCUGUCUGGAUCCUUUGUGGUUUCAUAGGACUUACAGCAUUGUUUUUCUAUUGUGAAAGCCAUUUUUACUAACCUGUUUGCUUCAUUUUAGUAUCACUUACGUGUCUGCCUGUGUGUGACGAUGCCUACGCUCUUAACUGCAGCGCCAUCACGCCAGCCCCAGCACAUUAUAUUUUUGGUGGAAAUUGUAUUGAUUCUCUGUAUCUCUUUGAGUAGAAUGGUCAUUUUAACAACACAGUUAAGAUUUUAUUGUAUUAUUUUUAGUUUAUAUGUGUGAGAGAGCCCGAGUACAUGCAUAUAUACCACAUAGGUUCCCACGGAGACCAGAAAAAGGGUGGCAAGUUGUUUGAAACUAAAGUUAACAGUGGUUGUGAGCUGUCUGAGGCUGGUGCCAGGAACCAAAUCUGGGCCCUCUUCAAGAACAGCAAAUGCACAGUAAAUGCUGAACGAUCUCUCCAGCCUUGCUUAAAAACAUGUAUUCUGAUCUACCAACACCUACCAUGCUUGCGUUUCUACAUCCUCCAUAAUUUCCUUAAUCUGGGUUCCACAAUUUUCACGGUGCAUGUUUUACUGCCUUGUUUACUGCUAAUCUUAUAGCUAUUGAGAGUGGGGCUGUUUGCUUAAUUUCUUUUUGAGUAAUUUUUACAAUUAGUGUUGCAGGUAAUUUUAAAAACACCCUCGCUCCAGCUAGGCUCUGCCUGCCAACUGACUAAAGCUUUCCCAUAAACUCUGGAGGAGCUGCGAUCUCUCUACACCAACCAAGCACCCCGUGACUGGCUUCACCAACCACCAACAACUGCCCCACAGCUGCGCCCUCUCUCUUGCCCACCUGAGUCAUCAUGAAUGGAAAGCACCAGACAGUCUCAAUAUUUUAAAAUCAGCCAGAUGACACAACUGCUGGGCUCGGAACCUAUUGUCCUAAACUAAUUGGCUAGUCUAUAUUAGAAUUCAUCCGGUGGAGGAGGCUGCCCCAGAUUCUAAUAGACCCCAGGUCUACAUGGUGUCUAUGCUUCUCCCUCCACAACCUGGCCCCAAAGUCCUUUUUCUGUCUUGUCACCUCCUCUUCCUCUUGGGACCUGGAAAAUCCGCCUCUAUAUUUCCUCCCAGAAAUUGGCUUCCCCUGUCUUUAUUGACAUAGUCAAGAAACAAUUGGGCAACCAGAGUUUAGUUAUCAGCUCCUCCCCCUACGAAAUGCCACCGAUUUUUUGGUAUGUCAACUUUGUAUUUUGUCCAAAGUUUGGAUUCUUCUAAGUGCAGAGAUUUUUCAUCUACCAACAUAGACAAUUAAUGUCUUCUUUUUCCAAUUUAGGAUCGCUGUAUUUUUUCUCUUCUUCUGCUGUUUCUCCUAAGACUUCCAGUUCUCUAUUAAACAGGAGUAGUGAAAAUGGACAUCCCAACCUUGUUUCUAAUUUAGGGAAAAGCUGAGAUCACAUACCAUUAAGGAGGAGAGUGGCUUUUGUUUUAAAUAUACAACUUUCAUAUCUUGAGGUGUAUUCCUUGUAUGCCUAAGCUGUAGAGAAAUUCUUAUCCUGAAAGGAACUCCAAUUCAGCACAUGUUUUUUGGUAUUUGUUGAUAGGAUUAUAAGUUUGUGCUUGAUUUCUUUGAUAUCUCAUGUCUUUGCUUGGUUGGUGCUAAGCCAUCCUAUAUCCCUGGUUAAGUCUUGUCAACUACACACAAACCUAAACAUAUCUGGGAAUUUUCUAUUGAGAAAAUAGGGCAGUCAUUGGUCUCAGGGAACUGGAUUUUGAACUUCAAAAAGCUUAAUGAACUUCAAUUACAAUCAAUUUAUUUGCAUCCAUUUUAUCCUUCUUUAAGUUUUGACUCUCAUGAUCUUUUCAAGACAUGCCUCAACUUUCUGGUUCUGCCCUCACCUAUCUGUAUUAUCAAUCCUUUGCAUAAAGGGUGACCUCUUCGUGUAAAAACAUUCAUCUAAAAGCAUUACCCUUUUCUUCAAUCCUUUUUAAAACAUACAUCACAGAUGUAUUUAUAUCUCUUUAUCUUAACAGUUCUUUCUGUCUUAGUUUUCCUUAGAAAAAUCAGAAAAUGCUCUUUUCUGUAUAAAGCAACUAUAUCUUAAAUGAACCCCAAGACACUGCCUGUGAAACACAGAAAACAAUGUAUAUGGCACCUUAAAUAUCAAACAACUAUCAAUACAGGCAAAACAUGUUAAUGGUUCUGACUUUCUUAACAAAUGUGCUAGCUGUUUGCCCAAGAGUCUUCUAAUAAUAUACAUGGGGAAUUGUUUUAUUUUUAAUUAAUAUCUCAUUUAGGUUCACAAGCCAACCAAACAAAGGAUGAAAACCAGGCACUUCUACUUUGUUUAACCUUGUGAGUCACCCACUUGUCUCUGCCGUAGCGUGCUGGCUGUUAGCAGCUCUUUGCCUACAUUAUGUUGUCUUUCUUUAAAGCUAUGAAAGCACAGAGAUGAGCUGUUCCCCCAGAUGCAUUGUAAGAGAUAAAUUACAGUGAUACUCUAAUGAAA